rnacentral:rRNA from 1 species
ACGAACGCUGGCGGCGUGCUUAACACCUGCCAGUCGCACGGAAAGGCCCUGCUUUUGUGGGGUGCUCAAGUGGCGAACGGGUGAGUAACACGUGAGUAACCUGCCCUUGACUUUGGGAUAACUUCAGGAAACUGGGGCUAAUACCGGAUAGGAGCUCCUGCUGCAUGGUGGGGGUUGGAAAGUUUCGGCGGUUGGGGAUGGACUCGCGGCUUAUCAGCUUGUUGGUGGGGUAGUGGCUUACCAAGGCCUUGACGGGUAGCCGGCCUGAGAGGGUGACCGGCCACAUUGGGACUGAGAUACGGCCCAGACUCCUACGGGAGGCAGCAGUGGGGAAUAUUGCACAAUGGGCGGAAGCCUGAUGCAGCAACGCCGCGUGCGGGAUGACGGCCUUCGGGUUGUAAACCGCUUUCGCCUGUGACGAAGCGUGAGUGACGGUAAUGGGUAAAGAAGCACCGGCUAACUACGUG